CAAGUCGAACGAGAAAGGUCCUUCGGGGCCGAGUACAGUGGCGGACGGGUGAGUAACGCGUAGGAAUCUACCCAGUUGUUGGGGACAACCCGAGGAAACUCGGGCUAAUACCGAAUGUGCUCUCUUCUUAUGGAGAGAGUAAAGAAGGCCUCUAUUUAUAAGCCCUCGCAAUCGGAGGAGCCUGCGUUGGAUUAGCUUGUUGGUGAGGUAAUGGCUCACCAAGGCGACGAUCCAUAGCUGGUCUGAGAGGACGAUCAGCCACACUGGAACUGAGACACGGUCCAGACUCCUACGGGGGGCAGCAGUAGGGAAUCUUGGGCAAUGGGCGCAAGCCUGACCCAGCCAUGCCGCGUGUGUGAAGAAGGCUCUAGGGUUGUAAAGCACUUUCAGUGGUGAAGAUAAGCUGUGGAUUAAUACCCCACGGUCUAGACGUUAACCACAGAAGAAGAUCCGGCUAACUCCGUGCCAGCAGCCGCGGUAAUACGGAGGGAUCGAACGUUAAUCGGAAUUACUGGGCGUAAAGCGCGCGUAGGCGGUUUUUUAAGUGGGAUGUGAAAGCCCCGGGCUCGACCUGGGAAAUGCAUUCCAUACUGGAGAACUAGAGUGUGAUAGAGGGAAGGUAGAAUUUCCUGGUGUAGCGGUGAAAUGCGUAGAUAUAGGAAGGAAUACCAGUGGCCGAAAGCGGC
rnacentral:rRNA from 1 species